GCUCAGGAUGAACGCUAGCUACAGGCUUAACACAUGCAAGUCGAGGGGCAGCAUGAAGUUUGCUUGCAAACUUUGAUGGCGACCGGCGGAUGGGUGAGUAACGCGUAUCCAACCUGCCCCCUUCCCGGGCACAGCCCUUGGAAACGAGGAUUAACUCCCGAUGGUGUCAGUCAGGCGCAUGCCUUUCUGACCAAAUGCUUAAGGAAGGGGAUGGGGAUGCGUCCCAUUAGCUUGUUGGCGGGGUAACGGCCCACCAAGGCGUCGAUGGGUAGGGGUUCUGAGAGGAAGGUCCCCCACACUGGAACUGAGACACGGUCCAGACUCCUACGGGAGGCAGCAGUGAGGAAUAUUGGUCAAUGGAGGCAACUCUGAACCAGCCAAGUAGCGUGAGGGAAGACUGCCCUACGGGUUGUAAACCUCUUUUGUCGGGGAAUAAACCGCAUCACGUGUGAUGCUCUGCAUGUACCCGCAGAAUAAGGACCGGCUAAUUCCGUGCCAGCAGCCGCGGUAAUACGGAAGGUCCGAGCGUUAUCCGGAUUUAUUGGGUUUAAAGGGAGCGUAGGCGGGCUGUUAAGUCAGCGGUAAAAUGUCAAGGCCCAACCUUGUCCUGCCGUUGAAACUGGCGGUCUUGAAUGCACACAAGGGAGAUGGAAUUCGUCGUGUAGCGGUGAAAUGCUUAGAUAUGACGAAGAACUCCGAUUGCGAAGGCAGUCUCCUGGGGUGUAAUUGACGCUGAGGCUCGAAAGUGCGGGUAUCAAACAGGAUUAGAUACCCUGGUAGUCCGCACAGUAAACGAUGAAUGCUGGUUCUUGGCGAUAUAGUGUCAGGAACUGAGGGAAACCAUUAAGCAUUCCACCUGGGGAGUACGCCGGCAACGGUGAAACUCAAAGGAAUUGACGGGGGCCCGCACAAGCGGAGGAACAUGUGGUUUAAUUCGAUGAUACGCGAGGAACCUUACCCGGGCUUGAAUUGCAGCUGCAUGGGGCAGAGAUGUCCCUUCCCUUCGGGGCUGCUGUGAAGGUGCUGCAUGGUUGUCGUCAGCUCGUGCCGUGAGGUGUCGGCUUAAGUGCCAUAACGAGCGCAACCCUUGCUGUCAGUUGCCAUCAGGUAGAGCUGGGCACUCUGGCGGGACUGCCAUCGCAAGAUGUGAGGAAGGUGGGGAUGACGUCAAAUCAGCACGGCCCUUACGUCCGGGGCUACACACGUGUUACAAUGGGGAGUACAGAAAGCCGCUUCAUGGCGAAAAGAGGCCAAUCUUGAAAGCUCCUCUCAGUUCGGACUGGAGUCUGCAACCCGACUCCACGAAGCUGGAUUCGAUAGUAAUCGCGCAUCAGCCAUGGCGCGGUGAAU
rnacentral:rRNA from 1 species